rnacentral:rRNA from 1 species
CACGAACGCUGGCGGCGUGCUUAACACAUGCAAGUCGAACGAUGAUGCCCAGCUUGCUGGGUGGAUUAGUGGCGAACGGGUGAGUAACACGUGAGUAACCUGCGCCUGACUCUGGGAUAAGCGUUGGAAACGACGUCUAAUACGGGAUAUGACUGCCGGUCGCAUGGUCUGGUGGUGGAAAGAUGUUUUGGUUGGGGAUGGACUCGCGGCCUAUCAGCUUGUUGGUGAGGUAAUGGCUCACCAAGGCGACGACGGGUAGCCGGCCUGAGAGGGUGACCGGACACACUGGGACUGAGACACGGCCCAGACUCCUACGGGAGGCAGCAGUGGGGAAUAUUGCACAAUGGGCGAAAGCCUGAUGCAGCAACGCCGCGUGAGGGAUGACGGCCUUCGGGUUGUAAACCUCUUUUAGUAGGGAAGAAGCGAAAGUGACGGUACCUGCAGAAAAAGCACCGGCUAACUACGUGCCAGCCGCCGCGGUAAUAC